rnacentral:misc_RNA from 1 species
UGGGAGGGGGGCUUGCUCCCGAUAGCGGCCUGUCAGUUGAUCUCUUUGUUGCUGACCCACCGCUAUCGGGAGCAAGCCCCCUCCCAC